rnacentral:lncRNA from 1 species
GGCUGUGGAGACGGAAAUUCAGUUGAUCCACUAUUAUAAGAAGUUAUAAAACGAACCAGAUAUUUUUUGUGGUCAAUAUACAUUGGAAAAAAAAAGAAAAAAAAAAAAGAACCAUCAGUAAUGACGAAGCGGUCCCGCGGAGUGCUACUACACACUGCUGCCGUGACUCUUACCCUCGGGGAUGCCAGCCUUGAUAGGACACAGCCUCUGCGUCCAUCACUGCAGGCCGGGCAGUGUCGCAGCGUUGCCUCCACGGUGCUGGUGUGGCAGGCGCUGGCGUGGUGGCUUAUACGGGACAGUGAGACAAAUAAGCCAUGAAAGAACGGGGAAUCUUGAAUUGAAACCUGUGCUGUGCCUUAAAUGACCCACCACCCACCCUUCGUCGCCACCACCACCACCACCAUCACCAUCACCACCUGCCGCCACCACCACCACCUCAUCGACAUCAGAUCACCGCUACUACUGCGACUUCUACUACCACUACCACCACCGCCAC